rnacentral:rRNA from 1 species
UACCAGCACCCCGAGUGGUCGGGACGUUUAUUGGGCCUAAAGCAUCCGUAGCCGGUUCUACAAGUCUUCCGUUAAAUCCACCUGCUUAACAGAUGGGCUGCGGAAGAUACUAUAGAGCUAGGAGGCGGGAGAGGCAAGCGGUACUCGAUGGGUAGGGGUAAAAUCCGUUGAUCCAUUGAAGACCACCAGUGGCGAAGGCGGCUUGCCAGAACGCGCUCGACGGUGAGGGAUGAAAGCUGGGGGAGCAAACCGGAUUAGAUACCCCAGUAGUCC